GUGAGAUGGUUCAACGGUUAAGAACACUGGCUAUUUUUCCAGAGGACCUGGGUUCGAUUCCCAGGACUCACA
rnacentral:tRNA from 1 species